rnacentral:lncRNA from 1 species
GAAAAAAAGCAUUCAUCAUAAUAGAGGAAGACAUUGAUGGGACGGUUGCCAUCAACCCGUUACAUAAAUUCAUAAUACAAAUCGUUUGCAAAUGAUUUAAUGAAAAUGGUACAAAGAAGAAAGAAUUUUUGCUUGAUCUUUAUGGGAAUCUUGAUAAAAUGUUGCUUAUGGUGCACAAGAUGCUCAAAGGAGGAAACACGACCGGGCUGAGCAAAGAAUUCAAGAGACACUUGAGGGUGUGGACACUCAUACAUCAAAUCAACAUCAGCAUGGUGAGACCUGUGAUGAAGUGCAACCUUCAUUAGAUAACUCAAGUCCACCUAUGAAGUCUUCCAAAAAAAGAGUUACACAUCAGGGACAAUUAAACAAGUGCAAACCAAAAGGCAUCAUUUGUUAGCAUUCUAUGCUUUCAGUUACAAAUUAUUAUUUAUCAACAUGAAUGGCUUUAAUAGAGUAAAGAUAGAAACCAGAAUAAUGAGGAACAUUGCUCAAUGUAUUGGCAAACCAAAAGGUCCUUCACAAACCAUUAUAAAACAACACACACAGAACACAUCGGGCGGAGGAGAUUACAACACAUAUAUGCAUACUUUGCAAUAAAGAACCAGAAAAACAACACAGCAAAAAACCAGAUUACACAUACAUACAGACCAUACGGUUAUCAAAGGAGGGUGACUUACCAUAGCUACAGAGCAUUCAGAACACACAGCAAGAAAAAGGCCAAUUCUCCUCUCAAAGAAUUUUAACACUACAACAUAUCCUUAGUCAAAAUUUCUCCAUCAACCCCACUAAACUUGUCGUCCUCUCUUUAUCCUAUCAUCCCUAAAAAAUUCCAACAUAUGAUACCCGCUCCCACUUCACCUAUACACACAAAUAACGUAUGUACACAAUUCCAUCAUACGCGGUUAUCACCAGUUGUCAAAAACAGACUCAGAUGCAUACAUACCAUACAAAACCAGAGAGCAGUCCAUACACAGUUGCCAUAGCACAAACACACCCAAGUAUCCAGAUUAUACACUGAAGUCAUAAAGUCAUAUACCAUAUCACCAGUCACAUAACCCCGUGAUCCAUAGAACUACACAUUCAAGAAACCAACAGAAUACACAAUCGAAGAUUAAUACAGAAAAAUCAUAAAGGAAAGCAAACAUAAAUCAUUCACGGGGAUAAACAAACAGAGGUGAUAAAAAUCUGCAGAAAAGACACGUUUACAUACCAUAAAUAAGAGAGCCUCACACAUACCCAUAUACACAACAAGCAACACAUUCAUCCUAUCAACAAGCAAUAGGUAUAACUCGAAUUCAACAAUUCCAGUAUCUCAGAAACAAAAAAAAAUAGGAAUCAAGCCUUGAAGGUAAAGCAUCUAUUACUGGUUUAAACAAAUUAUUCUCUAAGAAAAGGCUAUGUUUUGCGAUGUACGAAAUUGGAGAUUUGUGCUCUAAAAAUAUGUGUAUUCUUAAAAUCGCAUAUCGUGAACGACAUGAACUUUGCCAUAUUUUUUAACAGCAAAUGAAGUCAUCGUCAUUUUUAUCUUGAAUAAUGGUUCUUAUGUGGGUUCUGGUUGAAUUCAGAUUCUAAAAAUAGAAUAAGAGUGCAUUCCAAAGUGAUCAAAACAACUAGUUAUUAAAGCCUUCUGAUUAAAAGUUAAUCAAAAUGGGAUAUCCUGAAAAUGCUUAUAGGAUUAUGUAUGUUUCAUAUCAUAAAAGCGUAAUCCCAGAAAAUUAAAAUCCAUAACCGUUAGUACUAGUAUACCUUAUGCAUGUUAAUAUCCAGCAUUAGACUAUUAGUAACUGUUGAUCAUGUCCCGCUACUGCCGCGGAGUAAGCAUCUCCAUACACAAGCCAUAGCUACGGUCUCACCUUGCUUCGGUGACCAAAAAAUGAACAAGUUCUUGGAAAAGAGAAAACCGUGAAUCAAACACAAAGACGAAUGGCCGAAUAAAAAACGAAAAGUGAAGAAAAAGAUGAGUUCACCUUUGAUUCGGAACCACCGUGAGCCACCGCGAGAAUAGAUUACCGAUUCAGAACCACCGUAAACCACCACCUAAAUAGAUACCCCUCUUUCUGUCGUGAAUCCGUUAAACCACCUCUGUUAAAACGUGUUACCGACAUGAUUCUACAUUACCGUCGCUGGAAAGAGAGCACUCGCCGCUGGAGGAAGAGAAUCUGUCGCGCCAUCCUCCACUAGUUGUCGCGCUGAAGAUCCUCCACUAGUGGUCGCGAAAAUGAGGCACCAGAUUUAUCCCUCCCAGUUAAACCCAAUCUAUUUUUAUUAUUUAAUGCAUUUUAUGACUCAAUUCCUAUUAUUACUUAAUUGCCUUUUUUAUUUCUUUUGAUUUAUGAUUCUGAUACUAUUUGUUGUACA